GAUGAACGCUGGCGGCGUGCCUAAUACAUGCAAGUCGAGCGAACGGACGAGAAGCUUGCUUCUCUGAUGUUAGCGGCGGACGGGUGAGUAACACGUGGAUAACCUACCUAUAAGACUGGGAUAACUUCGGGAAACCGGAGCUAAUACCGGAUAAUAUUUUGGACCGCAUGGUUCAAAAGUGAAAGACGGUCUUGCUGUCACUUAUAGAUGGAUCCGCGCUGCAUUAGCUAGUUGGUAAGGUAACGGCUUACCAAGGCAACGAUGCAUAGCCGACCUGAGAGGGUGAUCGGCCACACUGGAACUGAGACACGGUCCAGACUCCUACGGGAGGCAGCAGUAGGGAAUCUUCCGCAAUGGGCGAAAGCCUGACGGAGCAACGCCGCGUGAGUGAUGAAGGUCUUCGGAUCGUAAAACUCUGUUAUUAGGGAAGAACAUAUGUGUAAGUAACUGUGCACAUCUUGACGGUACCUAAUCAGAAAGCCACGGCUAACUACGCG
rnacentral:rRNA from 1 species